rnacentral:rRNA from 1 species
CUACGUAGGGAGCGAGCGUUGUCCGGAAUUACUGGGUGUAAAGGGAGCGUAGGCGGGAGUGCAAGUCAGAUGCGAAAUACAUGGGCUCAACCCAUGGGCUGCAUUUGAAACUGCAUUUCUUGAGUGAAGUAGAGGUAAGCGGAAUUCCUGGUGUAGCGGUGAAAUGCGUAGAUAUCAGGAGGAACACCGGUGGCGAAGGCGGCUUACUGGGCUUUUACUGACGCUGAGGCUCGAAAGCGUGGGGAGCAAACAGGAUUAGAUACCCUGGUAGUCCACGCUGUAAACGAUGGUUACUAGGUGUGGGGGGACUGACCCCUUCCGUGCCGCAGUUAACACAAUAAGUAUUCCGCCUGGGGAGUACGGCCGCAAGGUUGAAACUCAAAUGAAUUGGCGGGG